CACAUCCGGUUUUGACAAAUGGGCCGCUGAGCUCACGACUGCUCUGCUGUAAUAAUGCAGGGGUCAGGGCAUCGAUCCGGAAGAAACUCACCCGGCACGGGUCUGGCCAAUCAGAGCAUGUUUCCGCAGAUCCUUUCCAUGGAGCGUUCUGUAGCUCAAGUCCCGGAACCUGCUAUGUGUCCCUAAGAUCGCAGUGCUCACGAUCUGGGGAGAAAGUGCCCCUGCAGACCUGGUGUCCUCUCGACCUCCAGCUGGACGUGAAGCCAGCACUCGGCCCGCACAGAAACAAGGCACCCCUGCCACUGCACCAGAACAGGGGCCUGGAGCAUAACUACUACAAGCACCCAGGAUCCGUCACAACUACAGCGAGAAGGUGGGGCGUUCAAGGCGUACAUUUUGCUGCUGUAUUUCUUAACAUCCCAUGGGCAUACUGGUUGCUGGGAACAAAAGCUCCCCAAGGCAUCAUGGAUCUGCUAUAGAAGUAGAAUUGGGGAAACCAGAGAGGAGGAUUUAAAUACACACGAUGUGCUGUGAGAUUUCAUUUAGAUUCUCUAAUUAUUUCCCACAAACAG
rnacentral:lncRNA from 1 species